AUUGAACGCUGGCGGAAUGCUUUACACAUGCAAGUCGAACGGCAGCACGGGGGCAACCCUGGUGGCGAGUGGCGAACGGGUGAGUAAUACAUCGGAACGUGCCCGGUCGUGGGGGAUAACGUAGCGAAAGUGACGCUAAUACCGCAUACGAUCUGAGGAUGAAAGCGGGGGACCUUCGGGCCUCGCGCGAUCGGAGCGGCCGAUGUCAGAUUAGGUAGUUGGUGGGGUAAAGGCCUACCAAGCCGACGAUCUGUAGCUGGUCUGAGAGGAUGACCAGCCACACUGGGACUGAGACACGGCCCAGACUCCUACGGGAGGCAGCAGUGGGGAAUUUUGGACAAUGGGCGCAAGCCUGAUCCAGCCAUUCCGCGUGCAGGACGAAGGCCUUCGGGUUGUAAACUGCUUUUGUAUGGAACGAAAAGGAUCUGGCUAAUACCUGGGGCUCAUGACGGUACCGUAAGAAUAAGCACCGGCUAACUACGUG
rnacentral:rRNA from 1 species